rnacentral:rRNA from 1 species
GAAAUGCAUAGAUAUCACGCANANCUCCGAUUGCGAAGGCNGNUUACUAAGCUACAACUGACACUGAANCACGAAAGCGUGGGGAUCAAACAGGAUUAGAUACCCUGGUAGUCCACGCAGUAAACGAUGAUUACUAGCUGUUUGCGAUACACAGUAAGCGUGNACACGCGAGAAGCGUUAAGUAAUCCACCUGGGGAGUACGCCGGCAACGGUGAAACUCAAAGGAAUUGACGGGCGGCCCGCACAAGCGGAGGAACAUGUGGUUUAAUUCGAUGAUACGCGAGGAACCUUACCCGGGUUUGAACGUAGGGAGACAGGAGUGGAAACAUUCUUUUCAGCAAUGACUGCCUACGAGGUGCUGCAUGGUUGUCGUCAGCUCGUGCCGUGAGGUGUCGGCUUAAGGUGCCAUAACGAGCGCAACCCUUAUUUUUCAGUUUACUAACAGGUGAUGCUUGAGGACUCUGAAAGAGACUGCANCGUAG